CACAACCCGGCCCUGACGGUGGCGCAGAUCGAGGAGAUCAUCAAAUCGACGGCGGAGGACAAGGGAGCGGCGGGCUGGGAUUCGCUGUAUGGCUGGGGGCGCAUCAACGCGAAUGCAGCGUUGAUUGCCGCCACACCCGAAUGCCCGGCCGACCUCACCGGCAACGACACGGUGAACGUGGAUGACCUGCUGGCGGUGAUCGACGCCUGGGGCUUCUGCCCGAAGCCUCCGGCCGCUUGCGCCGGGGAUAUCUAUCCUCCGGAAAGCGGCGGAAACGGCACGGUGAAUGUGGAUGAUCUGCUGAUGGUCAUCAACGCGUGGGGGGCGUGCCCGUAACAGCCUGAUCUCCAGGGGAGGGGUUGAACG
rnacentral:misc_RNA from 1 species